AUUGAACGCUGGCGGCAUGCUUUACACAUGCAAGUCGAACGGCAGCACGGGUGCUUGCACCUGGUGGCGAGUGGCGGACGGGUGAGUAAUACAUCGGAACGUAUCCAGAAGAGGGGGAUAACGCAUCGAAAGAUGUGCUAAUACCGCAUAUUCUCUGAGGAGGAAAGCAGGGGAUCGCAAGACCUUGCGCUUUUGGAGCGGCUGAUGUCUGAUUAGCUAGUUGGUGGGGUAAAGGCCUACUAAGGCGACGAUCAGUAGUUGGUCUGAGAGGACGACCAGCCACACUGGGACUGAGACACGGCCCAGACUCCUACGGGAGGCAGCAGUGGGGAAUUUUGGACAAUGGGCGAAAGCCUGAUCCAGCCAUGCCGCGUGAGUGAAGAAGGCCUC
rnacentral:rRNA from 1 species